rnacentral:tRNA from 1 species
GGGAGUUUGGCAGAGCGGUUGAAUGCACCGGUCUUGAAAACCGGCGAGGGUUUGUAGCCCUUCGUGAGUUCGAAUCUCACAGCUCCCGCCA